UACGGGGGGGGCAAGCGUUGUUCGGAAUUACUGGGCGUAAAGGGCUCGUAGGCGGCCAACUAAGUCAGACGUGAAAUCCCCAGGCUCAACCUGGGAACUGCGUCUGAUACUGGAUGGCUUGAAUUCGGGAGAGGGAUGCAGAAUUCCAGGUGUAGCGGUGAAAUGCUUAGAUAUCGUCAAGAACACCGAUAGCGAAGGCAGCUUACUAGGCUGUAACUGACGCUGAGGCACGAAAGUGUGGGGAGCAAACAGG
rnacentral:rRNA from 1 species